rnacentral:lncRNA from 1 species
GCUUUGUUUGCGAGUUUUGAGGGGAAGGAAAGGAAAGGCUAAGGAGGGGAAGGGAAGGAAAGGGAGGGAAGGGAGAAAGGAGGGAAAACCUUCCCCUUGUUUGGGAGUUAAAAAACCAACAAGGAAAGGAGAUGGAGGGCUUAUGUUAUAAUUUUACUAUUUUACCCUUUUUCCUCUUAAAAUCAAUACAUUGUUAUACUUCGUAAUUUAACUUCUAAUUUAUUCAAAACAACUUAUCGCAUGAAAAACAAAUUAUUAAGAUCUAUUUUAAAAAACAACUUAUUUAUAAAAAAAAAAAAAACUUAUUACAAUCACUUUUUAAAAACAACUUACUUAUACAAAACAACUUAUUACGACCUCUUUUUAAAAAAUAGCUUAUCUUAUGAAAAGCAAAUUAUUACGAUCUUUUUUUAAAAAACAACUUAUUCAAAAUAGCUUAUUUAUACAAAACAGAUUAUUAUGACCUCUUUUCAGAAAAACAGCAUAUUCAAAACAGCUUAAUACAAUCUCUUUUUCAAAAACAACUUAUCCAAAAUAGUUUAUCUAUACAAAACAGUUUAUUACGACCUCUUUUCAAAAAACAACUUGUUCAAAACAGCUUAUUUAUACAAAACAACUUAUUCAAAACAGCUUAUUUAUGCAAAACAGCUUAAUACGAUCUCUUUUUCAAAAACAGCUUAUUCAAAACAGCUUAUUUAUAUAAAAUAGCUUAUUACGACCUCAUUUUCAAAAACCGCUUAUUCAAAACAACUUAUUUAUACAAAACAGCUUAUUAUGACCUCAUUUUUAAAACAACUUAUUUAUACAAAACAGCUUAAUAUGACCUCAUUUUCAAAAACAGCUUAUUCAAAACAACUUAUUAUGCAAAACAGCUUAAUACAAUCUCUUUUUCAAAAACAGCUUAUUCAAAACAGCUUAUUUAUAUAAAACAGCUUAUUACGACCUCAUUUUCAAAAACCGCUUAUUCAAAACAACUUAUU